rnacentral:lncRNA from 1 species
GUAACUUAUUUGCAAUCAUGAAGAGCCCAAACACAGAGAGUUUAGAAUCUUAGAGAGACCUUAGAUGCCUUAAAGAUACUGGACUUUUAAAGUGUCUGAACUUUUAAAGACUAUGGGACUUGAAAAGUUGGAAUAUUUUAUUGUGACAUCAAUAUUAAUACUAUGCUAUCUUGGGGAUGAACAAGAAGAGUCAUCGCUCAGGUGACCCUUGGCACAGAUUCCAGCUGGAGGCCUCCCCUGCUGCACAUAUGGUUCUCCCAGUCCUAUGUAUUUCCUAUACUCUGGACAAAUGCUGAGCAGAGUCACCAAAGCUGUCUCCAGGAGGGCUGUCUCCGUCUUACCCAGCCCUGUUCCCUGCUUCUGCUUCCUCCACCCUUGUGGCCCAAUGCAGCCAGCACCACAAGUGGGGAUGGGAUGGAGCCUGUGGGUCCAUCCAGGCCUCUGGGACAAACAGCUGCAGAAAGACACUGGACUAUGGAAAAAACUGCUGAACUCAAUCAGCCGGCAUACUUCAAAGAUGUACUAACUUCUGAAUGGAAACUAGGACAUGUGUUACGUUGGAGUCGGGGUUUUGCAUUGGUUUCUAAAGGAGAAGAAAAACUUUGGAUACCAUCAAAGUUGAUCAAGAUUCGAGUGGAAAAGGAAAAACCUGUCGACGAGGACAAAUGACAGGUAUUCUACUAAGGUAUAUCUUAUAAACUAAAUAGAAACCUCCCAAAGGAAAGGGAAGUGUUUUGCUUUUAUCUUCACAGGAAAACUCAUCUCCAGAAGGCAAAGGACAUUGCAUGGGUAGAUACUUGGGAAGAAAAGGUAGCCAUAACCAUCAAACAAAAGGAACGUGCCAUAUGGUAAACUUUACAGCUGUCUCUCAGAGAACUAUUUCUCUUUAUUUCCUAGUCCCUAUUCAAUUAAACCAAUGCUGGGUUUAGAGGUGGAUUUGGCUUUCCUCCUCUAAAAUCCAAGCACGUUAUUUAACUAAACUUUAGUGUUUCUGUGUUGUAUCAAGAAGCCAAUUGAUGUAAUACAGAAUAAAAGAAGAAUUUGGGGACUGUCUUUGUCUCUUCUUGGAUCUUUCUCUCCAGGUGUACACCCUUUCAUAAUUGUUAUGCUCUCAUGGUUGCAUUCCGCAGCAUGUGUACAUACACAAGCAAACAUUUCUCUGCUAAUUGUUUAUGUUUGAG